UUAAAUUGAAGAGUUUGAUCAUGGCUCAGAUUGAACGCUGGCGGCAGGCCUAACACAUGCAAGUCGAACGGUAACAGAAAGCAGCUUGCUGCUUUGCUGACGAGUGGCGGACGGGUGAGUAAUGUCUGGGAAACUGCCUGAUGGAGGGGGAUAACUACUGGAAACGGUAGCUAAUACCGCAUAAUGUCGCAAGACCAAAGAGGGG
rnacentral:rRNA from 1 species